UUCCGGUUGAUCCUGCCGGACCUGACUGCUAUCGGAUUGAUACUAAGCCAUGUGAGUCAUUGUAGCAAUACAAGGCAGACGGCUCAGUAACACGUAGCCAAUCUAACCUAUGGACGGGGAUAACCUCGGGAAACUGAGGAUAAACCCCGAUAGAUCAUUAUGCCUGGAACGGUUUAUGGUCCAAAUGAUUCGUCGCCGUAGGAUAAGACUGCGGCCUAUCAGCUUGUUGGUGAGGUAAUGGCCCACCAAGGCUAUUACAGGUACGGGCUCUGAGAGGAGAAGCCCGGAGAUGGGUACUGAGACACGGACCCAGGCCCUAUGGGGCGCAGCAGGCGAGAAACCUUUGCAAUGUGCGCAAGCACGACAAGGUUAAUCCGAGUGAUUCCUGCUAAAGGAAUCUUUUGUUAGUCUUAAAAUCACUAUUGAAUAAGGGGUGGGCAAGUUCUGGUGUCAGCCGCCGCGGUAAAACCAGCACCUCAAGUGGUCAGGAGGAUUAUUGGGCCUAAAGCAUCCGUAGCCUGCUCUGUAAGUUUCCGGUUAAAUCCAUUAGCUCAACUAAUGGCCUGCCGGAAAUACUGCAGAGCUAGGAAGUGGGAGAGGUAGACGGUACUCGGUAGGAAGGGGUAAAAUCCUUUGAUCUAUUGAUGACCACCUGUGGCGAAGGCGGUCUACCAGAACACGUUCGACGGUGAGGGAUGAAAGCUGGGGGAGCAAACCGGAUUAGAUACCCGGGUAGUCCCAGCUGUAAACGAUGCAGACUCGGUGAUGCGCUGGCUUGUGGCCAGUGCAGUGCCGCAGGGAAGCCGUUAAGUUUGCCGCCUGGGAAGUACGUACGCAAGUAUGAAACUUAAAGGAAUUGGCGGGGGAGCACCACAAGGGGUGAAGCCUGCGGUUCAAUUGGAUUCAACGCCGGG
rnacentral:rRNA from 1 species